AUUAAACCAUUGCAAUGGACAUAUAUAUUAUUUAUUAAUUUCCCUCCAAAAUAUUUCACAAAUAUGCCAAAAUAUUUUUCAUUUUAUUAAAACAUUAUUUUUCUUUCUUAAUAGAAAACCCUCAGAACGAAAGCAGCUAAUUGACUUACCCUUUUUCAGACAAACAAACCAAACGCCUCAAUCGAUUUACCCUUAGAACAAACAGCAAAUAGUUAAUGAUACACUUUAUUACAACGAACAACCAACAAUCUUGACAAAUUUGUUAGUGAGGCCAUUGGAGAUACUUGGGCAUCAACACAGUCUUAAUCGCAGUACAAACUUCAAGCACGUGUUUAUGGAAAUCGAAAUCCCCAAUCCAAACCACUUUGAGACCAAUCUAAGAGGUUCUCCAGAAGCCCAUCUCCAAAAACAAACAGCUACACAUUAUUUCACUGGUACAUCAUAUCGUAGCAUCGUAUUCUCUUUGGCAAACACAAAACUCAAUUCAUUACAUAUCAGUUCAAAUGUAUCUUUUCCCAUUUGAAAAGCUUUCUUGAACUCCUCUUCAGGGAAAUUAGCACUGUUACAUUGAUCCCACCAAGCUUUUGAUCUAUUCUUCACCCACAAUCGUAUUUAGGGAGCACCCUUUUCACUGGCUUUAUUACUCAAAAUGAUUUCUUCCUGUGCUGCAGCAGCAGAAUGGCACAAGAAGCAGUAGAAGUAGAAGUUCAAUUCCCUUGGACUUUCUAUUUACGAACACUAUCUAGCUGUUGUAAAUUGGAAUGAUGUUUUUGAAUGUUUGAAUAAUAAUCCCACAUCAUUUUAGUUGUUUUCUUGUGA